UACGUAGGGGGCUAGCGUUGUCCGGAUUUAUUGGGCGUAAAGAGCGUGUAGGCGGCCAGGUAGGUCUGCUGUGAAAACUCGAGGCUCAACCUCGAGACGUCGGCGGAAACCAUCUGGCUAGAGUCCGGAAGAGGAGAGUGGAAUUCCUGGUGUAGCGGUGAAAUGCGCAGAUAUCAGGAAGAACACCCGUGGCGAAGGCGGCUCUCUGGGACGGUACUGACGUUGAGACGCGAAAGCGUGGGGAGCGAACAGG
rnacentral:rRNA from 1 species